rnacentral:rRNA from 1 species
GGGCCCGCACAAGCGGUGGAGCAUGUGGUUUAAUUCGAUGAUACGCGAGGAACCUUACCAGGGCUUAAAUGUAACGGGACAGAUCUAGAGAUAGACCCUUCUUCGGACUCAUUACAAGGUGCUGCAUGGUUGUCGUCAGCUCGUGCCGUGAGGUGUCAGGUUAAGUCCUAUAACGAGCGCAACCCCUAUCGUUAGUUGCCAGCGAGUAAUGUCGGGAACUCUAACGAAACUGCCAGUGCAAAACUGUGAGGAAGGUGGGGAUGACGUCAAAUCAUCACGGCCCUUACGUCCUGGGGCUACACACGUGCUACAAUGGCCGGUACAGAGAGCAGCCACUUCGCAAGAAGGAGCCG